rnacentral:rRNA from 1 species
GGGUCAACCCUGUGCGGUCGAGUCUGGCGAACGGGUGAGUAAUGCAUCGGAACAUGUCCGGUUGUGGGGGAUAACCUGGCGAAAGACAGGACUAAUACCGCGUGUGCUCGAGAGAGGAAAGUNGGGGACCGUAAGGCCUCGCGCGACCGGGUUGGCCGAUGUCCGAUUAGCUAGCUGGUGGGGUAAAGGCUUACCAAGGCGGUGAUCGGUUAGCUGGUCUGAGAGGAUGAUCAGCUCACACUGGGNACUGAGACGCGGCCCAGACUCCUACGGGAGGCAG